rnacentral:siRNA from 1 species
GGAAGUAAAAUGGAGCAAAUGGAG